GCAAACUUGGUCAUUUAGAGGAAGUAAAAGUCGUAACAAGGUUUCCGUAGGUGAACCUGCGGAAGGAUCAUUACAGGGGUUUUAAAUGCUAAGCUUUGGAGGUGGGGUUUUUCGCCUCCCCUCCAGGCGGCAUUCUAACCACCAUAAUUCACCGUGUGCACUCAUUUGGACUAUGAAAUACUUCAUGGUCCUCAAUCUUUCUACGUCUUAUCACAUGUCUGAUGUAUUAUUUUUCAAAUAUUGAUAAAUACAACUUUCAACAACGGAUCUCUUGGCUCUCGCAUCGAUGAAGAACGCAGC
rnacentral:misc_RNA from 1 species